ACGGUUCCAGAGGAAUAAGCACCGGCUAACUCCGUGCCAGCAGCCGCGGUAAUACGGAGGGUGCAAGCGUUAUCCGGAUUUACUGGGUUUAAAGGGUGUGUAGGCGGGUCAGUAAGUCAGUGGUGAAAUCUCCGGGCUCAACCCGGAAACUGCCAUUGAUACUAUUGGUCUUGAAUUCUGUUGAGGUAGGCGGAAUAUGUCAUGUAGCGGUGAAAUGCAUAGAUAUGACAUAGAACACCGAUUGCGAAGGCAGCUUACUAAGCAGAUAUUGACGCUGAGGCACGAAAGCGUGGGGAUCAAACAGGAUUAGAUACCCUGGUAGUCCACGCCCUAAACGAUGAUUACUCGACAUACGCGAUACACAGUGUGUGUCUGAGCGAAAGCAUUAAGUAAUCCACCUGGGAAGUACGUCCGCAAGGAUGAAACUCAAAGGAAUUGACG
rnacentral:rRNA from 1 species